CCAAGCCAAAUUCUAGAUUAAGCCGUUGGAAAGACGUCACCAGUGACGAAAUCCUACGGUUUUUAGCAGUUUUAAUGUU
rnacentral:pre_miRNA from 1 species